rnacentral:rRNA from 1 species
GACGAACCGUGCGAACGUUGUUCGGAAUCACUGGGCUUAAAGGGCGCGUAGGUGGUUUGCCAAGUCGGGGUUGAAAUCUUUCGGCUUAACCGGAAAAGUGGCUUCAAUACUGGCAAGCUGGAGGGAGGUAGGGGCGGAUGGAACUUCCGGUGGAGCGGUGAAAUGUGUUGAUAUCGGAAGGAACGCCGGUGGCGAAAGCGAUCCGCUGGACCUCUUCUGACACUGAGGCGCGAAAGCCAGGGGAGCAAACGGG